UUUAAUUCGACGCAACGCGAAGAACCUUACCUGGGCUUGACAUCCGAUCGUACCUGCUGGAACAGCGGGUCAGUUCGGCUGGAUCGGAGACAGGUGCUGCAUGGCUGUCGUCAGCUCGUGUCGUGAGAUGUUGGGUUAAGUCCCGCAACGAGCGCAACCCUUGUCCUUAGUUGCCAUCAUUUAGUUGGGCACUCUAAGGAGACUGCCGGUGUUAAACCGGAGGAAGUGGGGAUGACGUCAAGUCCUCAUGGCCCUUAUGUCCAGGGCUACACACGUGCUACAAUGGCCGGUACAAAGGGCAGCAAAGCCGCGAGGUGGAGCCAAUCCCAGAAAGCCGGUCUCAGUUCGGAUUGGAGUCUGCAACUCGACUCCAUGAAGUUGGAAUCGCUAGUAAUCGCGGAUCAGCAUGCCCGCGGUCGAAUACGUUCCGGGCCUU
rnacentral:rRNA from 1 species